rnacentral:rRNA from 1 species
GGAUCAUUAUAGAGUUUUCUAAACUCCCAACCCAUGUGAACUUACCUUUUGUUGCCUCGGCAGAAGUUAUAGGUCUUCUUAUAGCUGCUGCCGGUGGACCAUUAAACUCUUGUUAUUUUAUGUAAUCUGAGCGUCUUAUUUUAAUAAGUCAAAACUUUCAACAACGGAUCUCUUGGUUCUGGCAUCGAUGAAGAACGCAGCGAAAUGCGAUAAGUAAUGUGAAUUGCAGAAUUCAGUGAAUCAUCGAAUCUUUGAACGCACAUUGCGCCCAUUAGUAUUCUAGUGGGCAUGCCUGUUCGAGCGUCAUUUCAACCCUUAAGCCUAGCUUAGUGUUGGGAAUCUACUUCUCUUAGGAGUUGUAGUUCCUGAAAUACAACGGCGGAUUUGUAGUAUCCUCUGAGCGUAGUAAUUUUUUUCUCGCUUUUGUUAGGUGCUAUAACUCCCAGCCGCUAAACCCCCAAUUUUUUGUGGUUGACCUCGGAUCAGGUAGGAAUACCCGCUGAACUUAAGCAUAUCAAUAAGCGGAGGAAAAGAAACCAACAGGGAUUGCCUUAGUAACGGCGAGUGAAGCGGCAACAGCUCAAAUUUGAAAUCUGGCCCUUGGGUCCGAAUUGUAAUUUGUAGAGGAUGAUUUUGGUGCGGUAUCUUCCGAGUUCCUUGGAACAGGACGCCUUAGAGGGUGAGAGCCCCGUACGGUUGAAUGCCUAGCCUCUGUAAAUCUCCUUCGACGAGUCGAGUAGUUUGGGAAUGCUGCUCUAAAUGGGAGGUAAAUUUCUUCUAAAGCUAAAUAUUGGCCAGAGACCGAUAGCGCACAAGUAGAGUGAUCGAAAGAUGAAAAGCACUUUGAAAAGAGGGUUAAAUAGCACGUGAAAUUGUUGAAAGGGAAGGAUUUGUGACCAGACUUUUUCUGGGCGGAUCAUCCGGGGUUCUCUCCGGUGCACUUCGCCCAGUAAAGGCCAGCAUCGGUUUUCGGCGUGGGAUAAAAGCAGUAGGAAUGUGGCUCUCUACGGGGAGUGUUAUAGCCUAUUGUAUAAUACCGCGCUGGGGACCGA